AUUGAAGUUAUAAUCAAAUAACUUCAUAUCAAGACAUUUCAGGGGCACCAACUCCUAUAAGAUGCCAUUUAAUUGUAUAAGACUAAAUGUAGCAUAUCUUCAUUACAAUAAAGCUGACAUUUUGCACUUGUUCUUUUAUGUGUAUCUCUCAAAGUGUCGGAGAAAAUGCAAAAACAAGCAAAAGUCACAAUUUAGAACUUGACCUUGACCUUUGACCUUGACCUCAUUUUCUAAGUUGGGACCCAUUGGACUCAAAUAAAAACAUUCCAGGGUUAUACGGUUAACUGGUUAUGAGUUAACUAAACAUACCGACAAAUUUAUUUUGUAAAGGUAGAUAACUCCUAUAAAAUUUCAUCGAAUCGCUUCGAUCAAAAUGCGCCAAAAAUUACUGAGGAUGUAACGAAAAAUUCGUAAAAAGAAUUUUGUCGCUAUCUUUUUUUGUUACGAAGGAGAUGCACACAGAUGAUAAACAGUGAAUAGGGAGAUAACUCUUACAAAGAAAAUGGUUCGGCUUAGCAGGGUGAAAUUUAAAAGCGCAUAAACUAUACGAUACCAUAUGAGAAAUAUUUAAGCGACAUAUUGCGAAACAAACAUUUAUCGCAAGAACAAAAUUUGGCGGAAAAAAAAAAAAAAUAAUAAUUAAAAACCAAUUGUUCAGAGAACAAUUGAAAGUCUUUCCACACCAAAGAAAUUUUGAUAAGAAGAUAGUUUCUUCAUACUGAUGCCAUAAAUGAUGGUUUAAUUAUCUUUUUGAGUGAUAUAAGGAAGAUACUAUGCUACUUCCGGUAAAAUGAAUGUCACAUCCGGUCUCAUAUGAUAGCUUCUUUCACACUGAUUUCAAAAAUAUAUAGUUUCUAUAUACUUUUGUAUGUAGAAUGGGAGAUAAUUGGCCACUUCCGGUUUGUUGGAAGUCAUUUUUAGUCUUCAGUUAUCUGUUCAUGUAUCUUUAUGACAAAAUAUAUGGAUUCUGAGAACUUUUAUGUGAAAAAAUUGCAAAAAAAGCUACUUCCGGUUUUCCCAAGGUCACUUCCGGUUGCCAUUUUUCAAGGUCAUUUGUCACUUAACCUUUUGUAUAAGGUCAAAUGUCUUUAUAAUGAACUUAAUUGAAGUUAUUAUCAAAUAACCUCAUAUCAAGACAUUUCAGGGGCAUCAACUCCUAUAAGAUGCCAUUUAAUUGUAUAAGACUAAAUGUAGCAUAUCUUCACUACAAUAAAGCUGACAUUUUGCACUUGUUCUUUUAUAUGUAUCUCUCAAAGUGUCAGAGAAAAUGCAAAAACAAGCAAAAGUCACAAUUUAGAACUUGACCUUGACCUUUGACCUUGACCUCAUUUUCUAAGUAAGGACCUAGGGGACUCAAAUAAAAACAUUCCAGGGUUAUACGGUUAACUGUUUAUGAGUUAAAUAAACAUACCGACAAAUUUAUUUUGUAAAGGUAGAUAACUCCUAUAAAAUUUCAUCGAAUCGCUUCGAUCCAAAUACGCCAAAAAUUACUGAGGAUGUAACGAACAAUUUGUAAAAAGAAUUUUGUCGCUAUCUUGUUUUGUUACAAAGGAGAUGCACACAGAGGAUAAACAGUGAAAAGGGAGAUAACUCUUACAUAGAAAAUGGUUCGCCUUAGCAGGGUGAAAUUUAAAAGCGCAUAAACUAUACGAUACCCUAUGAGAAAUAUCUAAGCGACAUAUUGCGAAACAAACAUUUUGCGCAAGAACAAAAUUUGGCGGAAGAAAAAAAAAAAAAAUAAAUUAAAAACCAAUUGUUCAGAGAACAAUUGAAAGUCUUUCCACAGCAAAGAAAUUUGGAUAAGAAGGUAGUUUCUUCAUACUGAUGCGAUGUAUAAUGGUUUAAUUAUAUUAAUGAGUGAUAUAAGGGAGAUAACAUGCUACUUCCGGUGAAAUGAAUGUCACUUCCGGUCUCAUAUGAUAGCUUCUUUCACACUGAUUCCAAAAAUAUAUAGUUUCUAUAUACUUUUGUAUGUAGAAUGGGAGAUAAUUGACCACUUCCGGUUUGUUGGAAGUCAUUUUUAGUCUUCAGUAAUCAGUUUCUGUAUCCAUAUGACAAAAUAUAUGGAUUCUGAGUUCUUUUAUGUGAAAAAAUUGCAAAAAAAAACUACUUCCGGUUUUCUCAAGGUCACUUCCGGUAGCCAUUUUUCAAGGUCAUUUGUCACUUAACCUUUUGUAUAAGGUCAAAUGUCUUUAUAAUGAACUUAAUUGAAGUUAUAAUCAAAUAACCUCAUAUCAAGACAUUUCAGGGGCACCAACUCCUUUAAGAUGCCAUUUAAUUGUAUAAGAUUAAAUGUAGCAUAUCUUCAUUACAAUUAAGCAGACAUUUUGAACUUGUUCUUUUAUAUGUAUCUCUCACAGUGUUGGAGAAAAUGCAAAAACAAGCAAAAGUCACAAUUGAGAACUUGACCUUGACCUAUGACCUUGACCUCAUUUUCUAAGUUAGGACCUAGGGGCCUCAAAUAAAAACAUUCCAGGGUUAUACGGUUAACUGUUUAUGAGUUAAAAAAACAUACCGACAAAUUUAUUUUGUAAAGGUAGAUAACUCCUAUAAAAUUUCAUCGAAUCGCUUCGAUCCAAAUGAGCCAAAAAUUCCUGAGGAUGUAACGAACAAUUUAUAAAAGGAAUUUUGUCGCUAUCUUUUUUUGUUACGAAGGAGAUGCACACAGAUCAUAAACAGUGAAUAGGGAGAUAACUCUUACAAAGAAAAUGGUUCGACUUAGCAGGGUGAAAUUUAAAAGCGCAUAAACUAUACGAUACCAUAUGAGAAAUAUCUAAGCGACACAUUGCGAAACAAACAUUUAUCGCAAGAACAAAAUUUGGCGGAAAAAAAAAAAAAAUAAUAAUAAUCAGAAGAAAAACAAUAAGUCUUUCCACAGAAAAGUGGAAAGACUUAAUAAUCAGAACAAAAACAAUAAGUCUUUCCACAGAAAAGUGGAAAGACUUAAUAAUCAGAACAAAUACAAUAAGUCUUUUCACAAAAAAGUGAAAAGACUUAAUAAUAAUCAGAACAAAUACAAUAGUUCUUUCCACAGAAAAGUGGAAAGACCUAAUAAUAAUAAUCAGAAGAAAAACAAUAAGUCUUUCCACAGAAAAGUGGAAAGACUUAAUAAUAAUCAGAAGAAAAACAAUAAGUCUUUCCACAGAAAAGUGGAAAGACUUAAUAAUCAGAAGAAA
rnacentral:lncRNA from 1 species